UACGGAGGAGGCAAGCGUUAUCCGGAAUUAUUGGGCGUAAAGCGUCCGCAGGUGGCACUUCAAGUCUGUCGUCAAAGACUGGGGCUUAACCCUGGAAAGGCGGUGGAAACUGAAGCGCUAGAGUGCGGUAGGGGUAGAGGGAAUUCCCGGUGUAGCGGUGAAAUGCGUAGAGAUCGGGAGGAACACCAGAGGCGAAAGCGGCGACCUGGACAGGUACUGACACUCAACUACGAAAGCGUGGGGAGCAAACAGG
rnacentral:rRNA from 1 species